UGUCUGUCUAUUGUUGCAAGACUCCCAAAAGUUGCUUGCGUGCUUCUCCCAUUUCUCAGGUUCUCAUCAUGUGUUGGCUUUGAACCCUCGGUUCUGGAUCAGCAUCCCAAGGAUUACAGGCAUGCACCCCACACCGAUCUGGGAGUACCUUUAUCAACACCUAUUCCAUGAGGAAUGGAGCUGAGAGUUGGAAAUAAGUGGAGAUGUGAAAAUCUACUCCGGGAUGAUGUAUACAAUUCUGGGCACAGAUGAGGAAUUCAGCUGAUGUGAGAGCAUCUAAAAGAACUGCAACCCAGCCUCCAGAGCCUUUGUUUGGUUUUUAUUGUUUGUUUGUUUGUUUGUUUGUUUGUUUGUUUGUUUGUUUGUUUUGGAUCCUCUACCAUGAAGCAUAGCCUCUGAGUUUCAUUAAAAGGAAUCAGCAAA